UACGGAGGGAGCUAGCGUUGUUCGGAAUUACUGGGCGUAAAGCGAGUGUAGGCGGUCUGAAAAGUCAGGUGUGAAAGCCCCGGGCUCAACUCGGGAAGUGCACUUGAAACUGCCAGGCUAGAGUAUCGGAGAGGUUGGUGGAAUUCUCGGUGUAGAGGUGAAAUUCGUAGAUAUCGAGAGGAACACCGGCGGCGAAGGCGGCCAACUGGACGAAUACUGACGCUGAGACUCGAAAGCGUGGGGAGCAAACAGG
rnacentral:rRNA from 1 species